UACGAAAGGGGGGCUAGCGUUGCUCGGAAUUACUGGGCGUAAAGCGCACGUAGGCGGCUUUCUAAGUCAGGGGUGAAAUCCUGGAGCUCAACUCCAGAACUGCCUUUGAUACUGGCAACCUAGAGGCUGGAAGAGGUUAGUGGAAUUCCCAGUGUAGAGGUGAAAUUCGUAGAUAUUGGGAAGAACACCAGUGGCGAAGGCGGCUAACUGGUCCAGAUCUGACGCUGAGGUGCGAAAGCGUGGGAGCAAACAGGG
rnacentral:rRNA from 1 species